CUGUUCCAGCGCACUACUCUUGAAACGAUAACAAUAAAAUUAGCCAAUGGCUAAAUCAAAAAACUAUAUAUUACCUAUACAUACUUCUAUAAGAGAAACAUAGCAACUAAUUUAAGCAAAUCGAAAGCAUGAACUGAGAAAACACAAUGCUAUAUAGUACACAUUGUUGUAGAUUUGUUGGAAAUGGCGCACACACUUGAGGCGCGUUAAUUAUAGCAUAUCAGUGCUAAACGUGCCGUCGAACGGUGAGUGAGUUGAUACAGCUGCCCAUUAGUACUGGGACAUAUUGCCUGGCUAAAGGAUUAAGAAGUGGCCGCGCGAUUGGCGCGUAGAUCUGCAUACACAAAAGUUAAUACGCACAACAAGACAAUUUGACAGACGAAUUUGUCCGCUAUUAGAGCGUGGAAAUUGUUGGAAAUUUUGUGCUUUUUUUGUUUUUGUUUUUGUGUUAUAUUAUACAUUUGAAAGAUAUUUGGAAUUUUUGAUUUUCGAAAAUUGUGAAUAAAUUAAUUUUGAAUAGUAAAGUCUACUUUUAGGCGGCAUGAAAUAGUUUUAUAUUCAGGUACCGUCCAAAUUAUUUUAUUGAGGAAUUAUAAAACAGAAAUAACGAAAAAUUGAGUAUUUUAAAUAUUAUAAAAGUGGUUUAAGUGGAAAAAUUUUGUUUUCGAAAAUCCCAUAGAAAUUAAAGAUAUCGAAGUAUACAUUUAGGCAGUACGAAAUUAUUUAAUUUGAAGAAUUGUCUUUAAUGCAUAUUCAGCAGAGAUUUGAAGAACACUGAGCUCGACUUGGCAUCUGUCAAUAUACUGUCGGCAUAUUGAAAUGGAACUUAAACUGGAGUCAAAGGCUAUACGAAUAAUAGUCAAGGUGAUAUGAACGAUUUUUCGAUCGACUACGGAGAAAUUACUAUAUGCACUAAAUUUAUAAUGAAAAAUUUUAAAAUUAUCUUAAUUUUUAAAUUCUGAAUUUAGAAAAUAAUAUUUUUUGGACCACGAAUAUUUAGAGUUCAGUUUAAUAAUUUAGAUAAUAAACUUAAUUAUUUUACGAUGAAUAACCUGAAUAUGUGAACAUAGGCGUCAAUUAGGAUUUCUAUUUAGAAAUUUAAAAAUGUAACGGGUUUUUGAACAAAGUCUGUCUUCCAGCAAACAAAGGCAAGGCAAAUACCAAAUUUCAGAAUGAAGAAGAUAGAGGUACUAUAUAAACCAAUAUGGAAAAUGGGCAUGACAUUAAGCCAUGUUAUUGACCUGUGUUUUAAGUGCUCCAGUAUUGCGUUAACCUCAAAUUCAACGCGAUAACUCGAUAACUAUGGAGAAAGCCGAUUCUAUGAAGUACAGUAACUAUAGUGUUACGAAAAUCCCUAAAAAAGAGAAGUGGGCGUGGUGUCAUAACCGAUUUAGUGUUUAAAACUACAGAAACAAUCAGGAUCUCUAAAUUAAAUCUAUGUAGCUUAGCAGUUUGAGAUCUCGAUGCUUAAAAAUCGCUUGCUUUUCAGGAUUCAGAUUCAGAACGGGGGCCGAUUAGGCAGGGGGAGGUUAAUCGUUUGGGUUUACAUAUAACAUAUUA